rnacentral:rRNA from 1 species
GACGAACGCUGGCGGCGUGGAUUAGGCAUGCAAGUCGAACGGUAUCAUCCUUUCGGGGGUGAGAGAGUGGCGAACUGGUGAGUAACACGUAGGUUAUCUACCCUCAAGACGGGGACAACCCAGGGAAACUUGGGCUAAUACCGGAUGAGAGUGCGAGAGAUUGCAUUUAAAAGGAUGGCGAAAGUUGUCGCUUAGGGAUGAGCCUGCGGUCUAUUAGUUAGUUGGUGAGGUAAGAGCUCACCAAGGCGAUGAUAGAUAGGCGGCCUUAACGGGUGGUCGCCCACACUGGGAUUGAGAUACGGCCCAGACUCCUACGGGAGGCAGCAGUCGAGAAUAGUCUACAAUGGCCGGAAGGCUGAUAGUGCGACGCCGCGUGAACGAGGGAGCCCUUCGGGUGUAAAGUUCUUUUAUAUGUGAGCAGUGCUUCUUAUAUUAACAGUAUGGGGAGAGAGAUAUUAGCAUAUGAAUAAGCAAACGGCUAAACUCCGUGCCAGCA